UACGGAGGAUGCGAGCGUUAUCCGGAUUUAUUGGGUUUAAAGGGUGCGUAGGCGGUCCGUUAAGUCAGCGGUAAAAUUGCGGGGCUCGACCCCGUCGAGCCGUUGAAACUGGCAGACUUGAGUUGGCGAGAAGUACGCGGAAUGCGCGGUGUAGCGGUGAAAUGCAUAGAUAUCGCGCAGAACUCCGAUUGCGAAGGCAGCGUACCGGCGCCAGACUGACGCUGAGGCACGAAAGCGUGGGGAUCGAACAGG
rnacentral:rRNA from 1 species